GUAGGGAAUAUUGGACAAUGGGGGCAACCCUGAUCCAGCGACGCCGCGUGAGUGAUGAAGGCCUUCGGGUCGUAAAGCUCUGUUGCAGGGGAAGAACACAAUGACGGUACCCUGCUAGAAAGGAUCGGCUAACUUCGUGCCAGCAGCCGCGGUAAGACGAGGGAUCCUAGCGUUGUUCGGAAUCAUUGGGCGUAAAGCGGAUGUAGGUGGCUAUGUAAGUCAGAUGUGAAAGCCUGGGGCUCAACCCCAGAAGUGCAUUUGAUACUGCGUAGCUUGAGUGUCGGAGAGGUUACUAGAAUUGUUGGUGUAGUGGUGAAAUACGUAGAUAUCAACAGGAAUACCGGAGGCGAAGGCGGGUAACUGGCCGAACACUGACACUGAGAUCCGAAAGCGUGGGGAUCAAACAGGAUUAGAAACCCCGGUAGUCC
rnacentral:rRNA from 1 species